ACGAUACCCCCGUAGUCCCAGCCGUAAACUAUACUCGCUAGGUGUCAGGCAUGGCGCGACCGUGUCUGGUGCCGCAGGGAAGCCGUGAAGCGAGCCACCUGGGAAGUACGGCCGCAAGGCUGAAACUUAAAGGAAUUGGCGGGGGAGCACAACAACGGGUGGAGCCUGCGGUUUAAUUGGACUCAACGCCGGACAACUCACCGGGGACGACAGCAAUAUGUAGGCCAGGCUGAAGACCUUGCCUGAAUCGCUG
rnacentral:rRNA from 1 species